UUGAUUAGGGGAAACUAGAGAGCUCUCCCGCCUGUUGAGUCUAGGCUUCAAGGAUCAAAGUUCCAGUAUUGAAUUAGAAGAGGCCGAGGAGUAAGGUAGCUUACAAAGGAGGAAGGGAGGGUAAUAUACCAUUAAACUUCGUUUUUAUUCAUUGCAAUGCAAGUGCAGUAUUUUGCUAGUACCAUUAAUCUUGAGUAUUAUAUUGUUCGUGUUCCAUAUUAUUUUCUCCAAAGAAAGACUCAACUGCCGAGUCUCCGGUCCCACAUCCAUAAUUUCAUCGACACCGACUUCAAUUUACAGGGCAAAAACAAAAUACAGUUCACGAAAAGACCAAAACGCCCUCUGCCUCGCAGGAGACCGGUCAACGCGUGAGACAAGUCUUGAUGGCAAUAGCGUAAAUACGCCCGAACGCCCAGCGUCAUCGCAGGAUAUACGCCUCGACCCGGAGAU
rnacentral:lncRNA from 1 species